rnacentral:tRNA from 1 species
GCACUAGUAGCUCAGUUUCUAGAGCCCCGGCCUUGUAAGCCGGCCGUCGGAGGUUAAAAUCCUCCCUAUUGCU